rnacentral:rRNA from 1 species
AACGAACGCUGGCGGCAGGCCUAACACAUGCAAGUCGAGCGAAGCCUUCGGGCUUAGCGGCGGACGGGUGAGUAACGCGUGGGAACGUGCCCUUUGGUACGGAAUAGCCCCGGGAAACUGGGAGUAAUACCGUAUGUGGUCGAGAGACGAAAGAUUUAUCGCCAAAGGAUCGGCCCGGGUUGGAUUAGGUAGUUGGUGGGGUAAUGGCCUACCAAGCCGACGAUCCAUAGCUGGUUUGAGAGGAUGAUCAGCCACACUGGGACUGAGACACGGCCCAGACUCCUACGGGAGGCAGCAGUGGGGAAUCUUAGACAAUGGGGGAAACCCUGAUUUAGCCAUGCCGCGUGAUCGAUGAAGGCCUUAGGGUUGUAAAGAUCUUUCAGUGGGGAAGAUAAUGACUGUACCCACAGAAGAAGCCCCGGCUAACUCCGUGCCAGCAGCCGCAGUAACAC